GCUCUCUCUCUCUCUCCAACAGCCCACACAUCAUCUCCCUAUCCCUCCUACGUAGGGUUCUGGUAAACCCCUUACCUAGGGUUUUCUCAUUCUAGCUCACGCAUUGCAGAGUGAGAUGGUAACUGACCAUGAGAUAGUCUGGCCUUCGAUGGUUAUUAGAAGUACAAUACUCGAGCAAGAUGAAAAUAAAAAAGGGAGCUACUUGCGUAAAUUGGGGCUGCUAGCUACACACGGGUAUUCGGAUCAAGGAUAGGACCACGAUAACUCAGGUAAUGAUUCUCUUCCCCUUGGGCUUUCCA